rnacentral:rRNA from 1 species
UUAGUCAGAAUCCGUGCUAGAAACGAUGAUGUUGGUGUCGCACAUUAGACUUGUGUUUAAAUAGAGCUUUGCUCGUGAACCAAAUAUGGUGGGCUGGGUUGUCUUUGCGGAAACGCUUAGGCGACUUGUCUACGAAUUGUAAUCAUAAUAUGGGCGGCGGUGAAUCCUUUGCAGACGACUUGAAUGGGAACGGGGUACUGUAAGUGGUAGAGUAGCCUUGUUGCUACGAUCCACUGAGGUUAAGCCCUUGUUCUAAAGAUUUGUUCA